GAUGGAUAGCCUUCGGGCUAUCUAUAGAA
rnacentral:misc_RNA from 1 species